GAUGAACGCUGGCGGCGUGCCUAAUACAUGCAAGUCGAGCGAACGGACGAGAAGCUUGCUUCUCUGAUGUUAGCGGCGGACGGGUGAGUAACACGUGGAUAACCUACCUAUAAGACUGGGAUAACUUCGGGAAACCGGAGCUAAUACCGGAUAAUAUUUUGAACCGCAUGGUUCAAAAGUGAAAGACGGUCUUGCUGUCACUGAUAGAUGGAUCCGCGCUGCAUUAGCUAGUUGGUAAGGUAACGGCUUACCAAGGCAACGAUGCAUAGCCGAACUGAGAGGGUGAUCGGCCACACUGGAACUGAGACACGGUCCAGACUCCUGCGGGAGGCAGCAGUAGGGAAUCUUCCGCAGUGGGCGAAAGCCUGACGGAGCAACGCCGCGUGAGUGAUGAAGGUCUUCGGAUCGUAAAACUCUGUUAUUAGGGAAGAACAUAUGUGUAAGUAACUGUGCACAUCUUGACGGUACCUAAUCAGAAAGCCACGGCUAACUACGUG
rnacentral:rRNA from 1 species